rnacentral:rRNA from 1 species
CUACGGGAGGCAGCAGUGAGGAAUAUUGCGCAAUGGGCGAAAGCCUGACGCAGCGACGCCGCGUGGAGGAUGAAGGCUUUAGGGUCGUAAACUCCUGUUAAGCGAGAAGAAAGGCUCAUCAUUAAUACCGAUGAGAGAUGACGUUAUCGCUAGAGAAAGCACCGGCUAACUUCGUGCCAGCAGCCGCGGUAAUACGAGGGGUGCAAGCGUUAUUCGGAAUAACUGGGCGUAAAGGGUGCGUAGACGGUUUUUUAAGUCUGCUGUUAAAUACCCCGGCCUAACCGGGGAAUCGCGGUGGAAACUGGAAGACUUGAGGAUGGAAGAGAGAAGUGGAAUUCUCGGAGUAGCGGUAAAAUGCGUAGAUCUCGAGAGGAACACCGAUGGCGAAGGCAGCUUCUUGGUCCAUAUCUGACGUUGAUGCACGAAAGCGUGGGGAGCAAACAGGAUUAGAAACCCCGGUAGUCC